UUCAAUUUUCAUAUACUGUUAAAAGGCACUGAAGAAGACGACAUUCCAUGUCAAAAAAAAAAAUCUUCAAAUCCAACUGUCAAUGAGGAAUCUAUCCAACCAAAUCAAUUAAACUAGAGCGUCAUCGUGACAAAGAUCCUUACCCUUAGAUUCAAUUUCUCAUUCAUCUUCCUUUGCAUCUCAAUUUCCAUUUACCACUUCAACAACCCAUCAGAAAACCAAACCCUAACCCUAACAACAUCACUACAACCACCACCACCACCGAUCACUCGCAAGAACUACAUUGUCAGAAUCAUUCAAUACAAGAAAGCGGAAGACCACAAGGCGUAUCUUGAGCACAACGCCAAUGAAGUACCGUACAACUCUUGUUCUUAGGAAUGGAUCAACAGAAACAACCCUGCUUCUAAAUUCCCCACAGAUUUCGGAGUCGUGUCUAUCGACGAUGACGUUGUUGAUUCGGUUUUUAGGAAGUUUGAGACACUGGAGAUGGUGAAAGAUGUUAGGGUUGAUUCGAGUUAGCAUUUAAGGAACUUGCUUAGUGGAAUGAAGAAGAAAAGGUAUAGGCGAGUUGGGGCGUUUGUAGAUGGGAGGAAGCGACUUGGGAAGAUCUUCACGUCGAUGUCGGUUACUGAUGGUGAAGGAACGCAAAAACUGGACAAAUGAGAAUUCAUUAAAUGAUAAUCUUGGACAUGGAAUAUUUGUUGCUGGUGAAAACACAGAAUGUUUAGGUUUUGCACCAGAUGCUGAGACAUAUGCUUUCCGUGCGUUUACAGAUGCAUAGCUUACUGUAGGUUUCAUACACAUCAUGGUUUCUUGAUACAUUCAACUAUGCAAUCGCAACCAACAUGGAUGUCUUAAAUUUGAUCAUUGGUGGCCCUAAUAACAUGGAUCUUCCAUUUUUAGGGAAAUUUUGGGAAUUAACAGCAAGCAACAUUUCUGUAAUUAGCAGUGAUGGACCAUAUUAUGUAACUUUAAACAACCCUGCUGAUCAAAGUGAUGUUAUUGGUGUUGGUGGUAUAGAUUACAGUUCCAGCAUUACUUCAUUUUCAUCACGUGGCAUGAACACUUAGGAGAUCCCUCAUGGGUAUACUAUAUUACCCUAGUUGGGGGAAGAAGAAGACCAUUCAUGUAAUAUAGGCCUUAGAAAGUUGUUCAUAAAAGGUCUUUUAGGGUAAAUUGACAAAAAUACCCUCAUGUGCAAGCCACAUGGGGGCAAGUUAACGUUGGUAUAGACGGACAUCCAACUCGGGGACUAUUCGCGUGCAACUUAAAGUCCGUCGGUAUCAUAUGAGGAAAAAAGUACCAUAGGGACUACUUUAGGAAAAAAACAAACCCUUAAGGACCAUUCGUGUAAUUUAGUCUUUUUAUUUUAUAGUAUAAUAGCUAUGGUCUAUGAUCUCGUAGGAAAUUCUGUACCGGCAUAACUAUAGAUUUUGACUAUGUAACAAAUGGUGUAGCUAGCUAGCUACAGACUUAGAUUCAGUAGCAAAUUUUGUAGAAAAAUAGCUACAUAUUUUGAUUCCGUAACAAUUUUUGUAGCAAAAUAACUAAAAACUUUGAUUUGUAGU